rnacentral:rRNA from 1 species
AUUGAACGCUGGCGGCAGGCCUAACACAUGCAAGUCGAGCGGAUGAGGGUAGCUUGCUAUCUGAUUCAGCGGCGGACGGGUGAGUAAUGCCUAGGAAUCUGCCUGGUAGUGGGGGACAACGUUUCGAAAGGAACGCUAAUACCGCAUACGUCCUACGGGAGAAAGUGGGGGAUCUUCGGACCUCACGCUAUCAGAUGAGCCUAGGUACGAUUAGCUAGUUGGUGAGGUAAAGGCUCACCAAGGCGACGAUCGUUAACUGGUCUGAGAGGAUGAUCAGUCACACUGGAACUGAGACACGGUCCAGACUCUUACGGGAGGCAGCAGUGGGGAAUAUUGGACAAUGGGCGAAAGCCUGAUCCAGCCAUGCCGCGUGUGUGAAGAAGGUCUUCGGAUUGUAAAGCACUUUAAGUUGGGAGGAAGGGCAGUAAGUUAAUACCUUGCUGUUUUGACGUUACCGACAGAAUAAGCACCGGCUAACUUCGUGCCAGCCGCCGCUGUAAGAC